AGAGUUUGAUCCUGGCUCAGGAUGAACGCUGGCGGUAUGCCUUACACAUGCAAGUCGUACGAGAGUUUUUAACUCAAGUGGCGGACGGGUGAGUAACACGUAAGAAUUUGCCUUUAGGAGGGGAAUAACAACUGGAAACGGUUGCUAAUACCCCAUAUGCUUUCGAGUAAAACGGAUUUUCCGCCUAAAGAGAAGCUUGCGGCUGAUUAGCUUGUUGGUGAGGUAAUGGCUCACCAAGGCGACGAUCAGUAUCUGGUUUGAGAGGACGAUCAGACACACUGGAACUGAGACACGGUCCAGACUCCUACGGGAGGCAGCAGUGGGGAAUUUUCCGCAAUGGGCGAAAGCCUGACGGAGCAAUACCGCGUGAGGGAUGAAUGCCUAUGGGUUGUAAACCUCUUUUUUCAGGGAGGAACAAAAUGACGUGUACCUGAAGAAUAAGCAUCGGCUAACUCCGUGCCAGCAGCCGCGGUAAUAC
rnacentral:rRNA from 1 species